rnacentral:rRNA from 1 species
CAGUCGCCGCGGGAAUACGUAGGUGGCAAGCGUUGUCCGGAAUUAUUGGGCGUAAAGGGCUCGCAGGCGGUUUCUUAAGUCUGAUGUGAAAGCCCCCGGCUCAACCGGAGAGGGUCAUUGGAAACUGGGAAACCUGAGUGCAGAAGAGGAGAGUGGAAUUCCACGUGUAGCGGUGAAAUGCGUAGAGAUGUGGAGGAACACCAGUGGCGAAGGCGACUCUCUGGUCUGUAACUGACGCUGAGGAGCGAAAGCGUGGGGAGCGAACAGGAUUAGAUACCCGCGUAGUCCCUGUCUCUUACAC